AGGUUUAAUUAGGAGUUACAAAAUUGAUUAUUUGUAUAAAUGGGGUAAUAAAAUGGAGAAAAAUGAAAAAGGUUAGGAAAAGGGAGGUGGCCGGCCUCUUAGUAGUUUUAGGUGUGAAUGGGUGUUUUAUUUGAUAAUUAAGGGAUUGAUUAGGUAAUUAAUCCUUUAAUUAAUCAAUUUUUAGGGAAUAUGAAAGGAAAAUAUCAUUUAGCUAAUUGAUUAUCUAAAUAAUGGAAUACAAAAUAUAUAGAAUACAUUAGGUUUUAGGAAUUACCUUAUAGAAAGGAUUUGAUGAAAUAGGCUUUAAAUUGUUACCUAUUUUGGGCACUUUUGACUUGGUUUAGGGAUGAUUGCCCGCUGCUCGCGCAUAGGAAUCCCAGUAUGCCUCAAGGGUAUUUUUGUCCUCUUUUACCCAAGAAUCCACGUGUCGCCUUGUGAUUAUUUUUGGCUCCAUAAAUGCCCCCACACCUGUUGGGCUGCUCGUAGGAAAGGGCAGCAGGUGUAGAGAUCAUCUUGCUUUAGGAAACGUGGGAUUGCUUCUUAUUUUGAUGUAGAUUCUCUCUUUAAUAGAAAAUUAGAUCCUUAUAGGAAAGGGAAAUAAAUUUCUCUCAAAGCCUAUUUAAGUCCACCUUAAGUGGGUUAUUAAAUCAACUUUGGAAAGCGAUUUAUUCUACCCUACAAGAGAGAGAUAGCUUAGAGGAUAUUUGUUCCCCCUCCUCUAGCAAUUUUCUACAUCUUGCCCGUGCAAAGGACUGUCUUUCGUUGCUUUCUUCGUCUUCUUCAUGCCGCACUGAGGUAAGAAAAAAUUAAUUUUCCUUGUCUUCUUCUUGGAUGGGGCUACCUCGGGGCAGCCGUCGGAGUGGUGCGGCAUGUCGGCUGGCAUGGGCCAGGAGUCGGCUCAGCAUGGGCCGAUGAGGUAUUGUGGCAGGGACCACUGCUUUAAGCUGCUCGACUUGGCUAGAACCAAAGGCAGCUUGUAUGGCUGGGGCCACGGAUUGUAGCGAUGUGGCGCAGUGCUAGGCAAGUCACAUGGCUCAUGUCUUUUUGGGCUUUUGGACAUGACGCGAGCUAGGCAGGUGAUUGAGAGAAAUGAAGAGGUUGCUGGCCUCAUGAGCUGCUGGAAUGUUGGGUUGAACUCCCAUGCUGGGUACCACAAAUGGCGUUGGCUAUUUUAACUCUCUUCAUCAGGAGAAACGUGGGUGGCUCCCAAAAUAAUAGGUGAAUAGGAUCAAGGCGGAUGCAUUGGCUCGUCCAAUCACCAUUGUAGAUCCUGCUGCAAGUGAAGGUGGGAAAAGGGAUCUUCCCUGCCUGCUCAAGAGAUGCCGGCUGAGGAAAAAACAAAAGACUUCUUUCGCUGCUUAUGCAAAGGAUGAAAAGUUGAUUGCUGCUUAUAAUCAAGUGAUCCACUUCAAGAGAAUCGUCGAUAGGCUUGAACCCCAAGUGUUGGAACUUCAAGGUGUACUAAAGAUCAACGAAAGUUUGAAGAAAGAAGUGGAUGAGCUACAGCGCGUCCAUGUUGGUAUUGGUGAAGUAGUUAGAGAAGUUGGUGCCCAGGCUGGAGCAGUCGAGGGUGAUGCCGCUGCUAAGAGCUUCGCGGCUGCUGAAGGUGUGGCAACUGAAUAGUCGUAGGAUGUCCAGGCUGCUAAAGUGUAGUCAUCUAGGUAGCCUUUAUGAUUUUCUUUGUUUUUCCUUGUAGCUCUUGUUUUGCUUGAACUCCUUUGGCCUUUGCCAGUCGUUUAUAAACAUGUUUUCCUUAGCUUUUCUUCAUUUUUGCUUUUUUUGUUCAUGCCCUAACCUUUAGACUUGAUAGACCAGUGGCAAGCAUGCUACUUUUUAUAAGCAAACAAGCUCGCGUAGCCUAUGCAGCCGUAGGUGUUGGUGUAGAACUUUGCAAAGUUGUUAGCCAUUGGGUUGGCAACCGGAUGCCUUACUUACAGAAGCAGACAAGUCCGCGUAACCACUAGGCUGUUAACCUUGACUUUCUCAAAUUCCGUAGGUUGCGUAGCAAGUAUCACAACACUUUAGGACUUGGUGUAGGUUGUUCCGCGCUUGGCAGAGGUGAAGCUUAUUGACUACGUAACAUGUCGGCAGUGGAUAAAAUUUCGUAUAUGCGUGCUAGCUUGUUUAACCUUUCACAAGAAUGUGCGGUUGUAUAAGUGUAGUGCGGCUUUACUGCUUGAAGGGCAAGCCGUAGGCAGUCUUCCGGAGUCCGUAGGCUACCUUAGUGCACUCGAUAGCAGCAUUAGGAUUCCAGGGCAGCCGUCCAUCGGAUGUACUGCGUAAUGUGCCCUCUCCGUCUCUAGGGCCCCGUUCCCCACGGAUUAGGCCAAGAGACCUAAAAUCCUUCAGUUAGCUAAGCCUUGAAAAAGACCAUUGCGGCUACUUCUAGGAAUCCCGGUGCAAGCCAUCGUGCAUCUAGUUAUACUAGGGCAGCCCAGCUCAUCCACAUCUGGAUAUUCGGAGUGUAGAGUUUCUCCUCCCGUUCUCUGAGAGCUGACCUAUGUGGGUGUCAGGGAAUUGGUUUACCCUCUCGUGUUGGAGAGCAAUUAGUUUACCCUCUUGCACUGGAGAGCAUGGUUGGUCCCUCGGGGGGCGCAAUUCCUGCGGUAAGUCCCUAAGAAUGGCACAGCCUUCUUUUGAAGUGCAGGAGUGAUCAGUUGUUGUAAGCAUACAGCCAAGCCAAGUCGUGAUUACUUCUGAAUUCCUCAUUGAAAAACGAGUUAAACGAACGAGAACUUAGAUGUAAGGUAAGAACUGCAUAACAACUGGAUAAUCCUCGAUUGGUGAGGUAGUGUCCGUCAAGCUGCUUGAGUCUUCGGGCUUUGAUGUAGCGAGAGGUCACACAUAGUACUUCCUCAUAUUGUAGGCGUUCCACUGUUUUUCGAUCUUUUUGUCGUUUUAUGGUGGCGAUGGUGUAAUUGUUCUUCCCACCUAUUCUGCUGAUCUUGUACGGACUUUCCCAUAUGGGAUCCAUAUUUUUUUAGCCUUUUCUGCUGGCAGUGAUGAAGGUUUUUCUUAUGACCAGAUCUCCGGGCUGGAACUGCCGGAUCUUGGCCCUUUUGUUGUAGCUGGAGAGGAGUUGAUGCUGUUAGGCUGCAAUGCGAGUGAUAGUCUAUUCGCGCCUUUCUUCUGCCAGAUCUAAGCUUGUGGCCAUCUCCUUUCGGUUGCUCGUCUUUUGGUUGUGCAAUAUGCCCAUAGACAUCCUUGGAGUUUGUCUGGCCAUUUUCUUUUCUUAUUGGUGAGGGAUUUCUUGUGGCAGUCGAGGAUCAUCUUAGUGGAUGCUUUGGCCUGCCUAUUGCCUUGAGGAUAUCUUGGCGUAGACAUGUGCUGCUUGAUGCCAUAUUUUUGGAAGAACUUCGCUAAAUCUUUGCCCAUGAAUUGCGGGCCGUUGUCGAUGACGAUGGAUUAAGGGAUGCCAAAUCGGCAAAUGAUACUCCUUCAUAUGAAGCACUCUAUGUCCGUCUGAACCAUGAUCGUCAUGGGCUCUGCUUCUACUUAUUUGGUGAAGUAAUCGGUUGCCAUGAUCAUCAUGCCUUUGCCCCUGGUAGUCUGGCUGGUGAUUAGCUAGGACUCGGAAUGAAUGGAAAGUUUUUUCACCACCAAGUCUUUUGUCAUUCGAAGGCCUGCUAGUGGGGCUUCGUACUCUGCUUUGUUGUUAGAUGCUUUGAAGCUUAGAAUAAUCGCCUGCUUGAGCAUUGAAACGUCUGGGGUGGCAAGAACCACGGCUGCUCACGAGCCUUCGUAGUUGGAUGCGUCGUCGACAUGCAAAUGCCAGAAAUCUCCAUUGAGGAAGCAGGUGUGGCUAAAGUGUGCUCGGCUGCCUUCGGGCCGUCGUUGGGCCGAGUUGUUGCGUUCGUCAGAAAACUUUGCAUCUGCCAGGGUCUAUGCCUUUAUUGUCGCAGGUUUGGAUUCGACGGAAUAGUGCGUCAUGAUGAUGACUGCUUCUGUUUAAAGGUAAAACUUAAGCUUUUGGGUUACAACAAUUAUCGCCAAAGUUAGCUUUUGAAUUUUUAAUAGCAGUGAGAUGAGCUUUUGAACUGUAGAAUACAGGUAGUCUGGCCCCCAUCUCUUCUCGCAUUAUGGUAGAGCUUAUUGCUACUUUAGAUACUGUUAAACAUGCGAAUAAAUCCUCCGCUGCUUCUAGAGAGGUGAUGUCGGGUACUUCUUCAAGUCCUUGAAUGUGCAUUGGCGAGCCUCAUCCCAAAGUGCAUGCUUUUCUGCCAAAGCAAAAGAGUCUGCCAAAGUUAGAUAUUAUUUCAUGAUCAAUUUUCUGAAUAGCGGGUGGUCUGCUGGAAGUCCUUUUUAGAAGGCUGCUCUAGCUAUCGAGUCGUUGCAUUCGACUGUUUUUGCCUUCUCUACUUUGAACCUCCUUACAUAGUCGCGAAGCGACUCCUUUGGGUUCUUCUUGACGUCGAACAAAUGGUCAGACUUCGUUUUGAUCGAGCGAUAAGAUGAAUAUUCUUUGGUGAAAACCAAAGAAAGUUCGUAAAAAUUCCGGAUGGAUUGUGGCAGCAAGGUGUAGAACCAAUCUUGCGCCUCGCCUUGUAGAGUGGUGGUGAAUAUCUUGCCCAUGAGAUCAUCGUUGUUUCGAUAAAGGAUCAUUGCGCUUCGAUAGAGCUUUAAGUGUCUCUCCGGGUCUUCAUCCCCUUUGAAAGAUGUGAAAUGUGGCAUGCUGAACUCGCGUGGAGGCUCUGCCUGCUUGAUCUCGUCCGUGAAGGGUGACCUGCUUAUGUUGGUCAUGUUUCGUCGUAAUGCCUCGUCGGUGACCUCGUUGCGUUGGAAAUCAUGCAAUCAUUUGGUCAAUAGUCUCUCUACUUCUUCCUGAAUUUGCCUUUGUUGGGGUAGCGGAACUCUCGGCUGCCCCUAGCCAUGACUUGCUGGUCUAGGCUACUCUUCCAUGUGUUUGGCUCGUCUAUGUCGCGGAUACAGUGCAUGUGGUGCGUUCCUAGCAGGCGAGCGAGUUCUUCGCAGGCUGCUGAUUGAACUUGAGCGGGAUUGAGUGACUGCUUCUUUCCGUCCGUCAUGCUGCCUACUCUGAUGUGAGGUGGAUGAUGCUCCUUAUGGGCUUAGCCGCGAAUGGACAUUUUGCCCGGAAGGUUGCUCAUGUUGACUAUCAGAGUAUGACCCCAACCGUGAAUGUAUGCUCAUCCGUGGGCCUAGUCGAGAGUGCAUGCUCCUCCGCGCGCUAAGACGGGAAUGUACACUGCCCAAACGUUCAGCUCGUGGCUGGUCGAGUGGCUGCUUAUUGAGACGUUGCUGGAAAGGUCUGUAUGCCCUUGUCCUACUUCGGGAUACCUCGUCCGGGGCACGUUGGAUCCCGAUGCGUUGCAAAAGUUGAUUCACCAAGGUUGUCUGUUGUGCAAGGACGCUCAUCAACUCUAUGACUUGUCGAGACAAGUGUUGUUCGCCAUUUGGAUUGGAAAAGCUUGGAAUGAAUGCGCCUUCUCGGGCAGUGGAAGGGUGGUAGACUCCGGGCACGAGAUUUGAGUUGGGAAAUGUCAAAUCCGUGAAAAAAUAUGGUGAGAAUGCCCCUGGCUCGAUGGUAGGUCCGGAUGGUUGAGAUAGUCUUGGGUCGACUUGGGCUGCUUGGAAAGCCAUGAGAGCAGGCUGGGCCGUGAGAAUGGCUGCUCAACUAGAGCUGGCUGGGCCACGGGAGUGGGCUGCUCGACUGGAGUUGGUUGGACCACGGGAGUAGGCUGCUCGUCGGGAGCAGGCUGGGUCACGAGAGCAGGCUGUUUGGCAGGAGCAGGUUGGGUCACGGAAGUGGGCUGCUCGACGGAAGCAGGCUGGGCCACGGGAGUGGGCUGCUCGACGGAAGCAGGCUGGACCACGGGAGUGGACUGCUCGUCGGGAGCAGGCUGGGUCACAAGAGCAGGCUGCUUGGCAGGAGCAGGCUGGACCACGGGAAUGGGCUGCUCGUCGGGAGCAAGCUGGGUCACGAGAGCAGGCUGCUUUGCAGAAGCAGGCUGGGCCGCGAGAACAGGUUGUUUGGCGGGAGCAGGCUGGGCCGCUAGAGUAGGUUGCUUGGCGGGAGCAAGCUGCUUAGUAUGUGAUGCAAGCGAAUGCGAGGCUUGGGCCCGGGCCCGUGCAAACUUCGAUAGCACGACUUGGGCCCGGGCCCGUGCAAACUUGGAUGGCACGACUUGGGUCGUGGCCUUGGUGUCGUGAGCCUUGGAUGACACUGCUCGAACUGUGAUGAAUGCACCAUGGACCUCGCCACGGAUGGCUACCGAGGUAGCCACCGUGGUGGUUCCCAUGGUGGAAACUCGUGGUGGUGGUGCUGCUCCACUUAUUGUCGCAUUUAGCCUCACGGAUCUCCGCAAUCCCAUUUCUUGAACAUUAGAAUUUUCACUUGUGGAAUUUUCUAAAUUUCUAGCCAUUAUAUUUUGCUUAUACGUUUUAUCAAAGAACCUUUGCAAGUAAAAAAUUCUAAUAAUAAAAAUGUGUGAAAAAUAUUCAAAUGGACUAGAAAAUAAAGAAAAAACCUUUUUGUGCGAGAGUCUUGUACGAGUAUGGAUUUCAACUCUCAAUGAAAGCACCAAUUUGUGGAUGCAAAUUUCUUCCUCCUUGAUCUUGGACAAUUUUGCACCUACAAAACAAUUAACACCUUAGGUUAAGGCCAAGAGCCUCACGCGCCCACGAUGAAUGAGGGGGGCUUUGGCCGAAGAACCUCUGAUGCCAAAGUUAGAAUUUAGAGAGAAAAAGUGUUUAGAGAAUUUUGGGAUUUUUGCCAAAGUGUUGGAAUUGGCUUUUUUGGUGAGAAUGAGAGUAUAUUUAUAGGGAUAGGAGGUGGCUAGGGUUUUUUGGGUUUAAUUUAGGUUUAAUUAGGAGUUACAAAAUUGAUUAUUUGUAUAAAUGGGGUAAUAAAAUGGAGAAAAGUGAAAAAGGUUAGGAAAAGGGAGGUGGCUGGCCUCUUAGUAGUUUUAGGUGUGAAUGGGUGUUUUAUUUGAUAAUUAAGGGAUUGAUUAGGUAAUUAAUCCCUUAAUUAAUCAAUUUUUAGGGAAUAUGAAAGGAAAAUAUCAUUUAGCUAAUUGAUUAGCUAAAUAAUGGAAUACAAAAUAUAUAGAAUAAAUUAGGUUUUAGGAAUUACCUUAUAGAAAGGAUUUGAUGAAAUAGGUUUUAAAUUGUUACCUAUUUUGGGCACUUUUGACUUGGUUUAGGGAUGAUUGCCCGCUGCUCGCGCGUAGGAAUCCCAGUAUGCCUCAAGGGUAUUUUUGUCCUCUUUUACCCAAGAAUCCACGUGUCGCCUUGUGAUUAUUUUUGGCUCCAUAGUAUGUGCUUAUAAGUAAUUGGAUUACUUUCCAUAUAGCCCAUUAAUUUUACGAUGAAACCUUAACUUUCUUCACACAUGACCAAAUUUUUUAUAUGUCAUCAUCUAUAUGUUAUUCUUAACGGUAUAAUUGCAAUAAGACUGCGUGGUAGCAAAGGUCCCCGAACUUUACCCCAUGUUUAGUGUUUGUCUCUAAACUCUCAUAUUAGUUUAUCUCAUCCUCUAACUUAACUUUGCAUUGCAUGAGUGGUCCUUU
rnacentral:lncRNA from 1 species